AGAGUUUGAUUCUGGCUCAGAACGAACGCUGGCGGCGUGGAUAAGACAUGCAAGUCGAACGAGAGAAUUGCUAGCUUGCUAAUAAUUCUCUAGUGGCGCACGGGUGAGUAACACGUGAGUAACCUGCCCCCGAGAGCGGGAUAGCCCUGGGAAACUGGGAUUAAUACCGCAUAGAAUCGCAAGAUUAAAGCAGCAAUGCGCUUGGGGAUGGGCUCGCGGCCUAUUAGUUAGUUGGUGAGGUAACGGCUCACCAAGGCGAUGACGGGUAGCCGGUCUGAGAGGAUGUCCGGCCACACUGGAACUGAGACACGGUCCAGACACCUACGGGUGGCAGCAGUCGAGAAUCAUUCACAAUGGGGGAAACCCUGAUGGUGCGACGCCGCGUGGGGGAAUGAAGGUCUUCGGAUUGUAAACCCCUGUCAUGUGGGAGCAAAUUAAAAAGAUAGUACCACAAGAGGAAGAGACGGCUAACUCUGUGCCAGCAGCCGCGGUAAUACAGAGGUCUCAAGCGUUGUUCGGAAUCACUGGGCGUAAAGCGUGCGUAGGCUGUUUCGUAAGUCGUGUGUGAAAGGCGCGGGCUCAACCCGCGGACGGCACAUGAUACUGCGAGACUAGAGUAAUGGAGGGGGAACCGGAAUUCUCGGUGUAGCAGUGAAAUGCGUAGAUAUCGAGAGGAACACUCGUGGCGAAGGCGGGUUCCUGGACAUUAACUGACGCUGAGGCACGAAGGCCAGGGGAGCGAAAGGGAUUAGAUACCCCUGUAGUCCUGGCAGUAAACGGUGCACGCUUGGUGUGCGGGGAAUCGACCCCCUGCGUGCCGGAGCUAACGCG
rnacentral:rRNA from 1 species